ACAAUUUAAUCAUAUUUUCAUAAAAAUCUUUAUUUAAAUAAUAAAAGCAAGUGGGUAAAGUACAAAGAGGUGGAGUGUUGACUUUGCUUUACUUUAUGACACAAGCAACCACUCCCACACCCACUCUAUGACCAGCCACACCUCCCCACCUUACCUAGGUCACAUCAAUGUCCUUUCCACUCAAUCAUCACUCCUUCCCACGUUUUUGAGAGCUGAAUAUUCAUCCUCUCUCCUCAUUUCUCUCAUUUUCUCUCUUUUCACCAAAAAGAGCAAACUCUUUUCUCUCUCAUUUUCCCUCUCUAGAACUCGAGAUUUGAGGGCUGAUCUUGGGAUUUUCCUCCACAUUUGGUAAGAAUAAUCCAUUCUCUUUAUGAUUAUCUCAAUUAUUUCCACUCAAAUCAUGGAUAUCUUACACAAACUCCAUUAUAAUUGUGUUAGAUCUUCGAAUCUUCAAGUGAUUCUUCAAGUGUUCUUGGGUUGAACACUUCUCUUCUUCAACACUUACCUACUGAAAUCACUUAAGGUGAGUUCAUACCCCUACAUUUUCAUGUUUUCUCAAGUUUUUAGGGGGGGAAUACAAGUUAAAACACCAAGAACAUAACUAAACUUUUCUAACAGCCUUCAUCAGAAAAGUUCAACUCCAUUCACGGACUGUUUUGGACAACUUAAACAUUUUAGUUUUCAAAACUGUUUUAGGUGUAAGUAGUUCCAGUUCUUAGCUUUAAAAUGACUACUUGCACAUCUCCAUACGAUUUUUCUACAAUUUAUGGUGAUUUUUACAAAACUGCCUAUCAUUUCAAACAUCAAUCCGGACCAGUCUGUGAUUAUGGACUUUUUCACCCAAGUUAGAGGUCAUUAAAAAUUAUAAUAAAAAUUAUGAACAAACUAGACUCAUUUUCCAAACUCUCAGAAGUUACAGAACUUGAUUUGGACAUUUUAUGAUUUUUCUACAAUUUUUCCAAUAACAGUUACAGAAAAUGUUAUUAACAGAAAAACACUAUAAAUUUCAUUUCACCUUGUAACAUGUUGAGCAAGGUAUACAUCAUUAUGUGAUUAUGUGUUGUUGCAAUAUAUGACAAUUUUGUAUUCUUAUAUAGACAUACAUCAGAAAACAAAUGGAUUUAUACCUCCACAAGUAUGGUAAAUAUAUAAAUGAUAUUACAAGGCUAUAUCCAUUAAAAUAUAAACAUUGGUAAAUUAUGACAAGUAAGGCUUAUGCUCACUACCCACACAAAUAAUUAAUAAACUAUAAUAGGUAUAGUUUAGGGUUAUUUUACAUAACAAACACAUGAUUAAAGGUUUUACACAUACAAAAGAGUUAUUACCACUAUGGAUAAUUAUGAUAAACUAUAAUAAGUAUAGUUAAGCCAUUAUACCCCCACAAACGAACACGCUAGUUAUAAUCGGUAUAGUUAUGGCAUAUAUAUAUUACAAACAAAGUGAUAAACUAUAAUAGGUAUAGUUUAUGUUUCAUCUACACUAUGAACUUAAUUACAAGAAAGGAAUUCACCAUCACCACCACUUUUGGUAAACUAUAAUAUGCAUAGUUCAUGUUCACUAGUCACUAUCACUAUUUGAUGAACUAUGAUAUGUAUAGGUUAUAUUCACCAUCACCACCACUUUUGGUAAACUAUAAUAUGCAUAGUUCAUGUUCACUAGUCACUAUCACUAUCUGAUGAACUAUGAUAUGUAUAGUUUAUGUUCACAGUCACUAUUACUAUUUCGUACACUACACUAGGAUUGGUUCCGGUUAUUGGGUUUAAGUCCACAUUCACUUUCGCAUUGUUAGUUUUCAGCUAUAAUUUCUAAGUGUAUAUGGUAGAGUUAUAUAGAAUCUAGUCGUGAUUGGCUUAGAAUUGGUGGGCCCGCCUCAUCUCCUGUUCCUUGUUUGGUUGUGGACCUAGGGCAGACCCAUUAUAUUCAACGUUUUAUCAACUUAAAUCUUAUAUAACUUAUAUACGCUGGACGAUUAUAGGGGAAAUCUACGGGUCAAUCUAGGGUUCAUUAACACAUCAUAUAGGAAUAUUCUGUUUACACUUAACUAAGAAAAUAUUGGAUUUUCUGGAAAUCAACUCUAUCGAUUUUAUAAGGAAAACGGUUUCUACUCCAAACAAAACUCUUAUGAACUCACCAACUUAAUUGUUGACACUCUUUCAAAACUACUUGUAUUCUCAGGAAAUCAGUGAAACAGGAAAACUUCAGCGCUUUGAGGAUGGGACGUUAAACCGUCAACAAUUUAUUUUUGUCAUCAUAAUGUAAUUGAUUUUGAAACAUGUAAACAUAUACUUUGGUGUAACUUUUUCAAUUAUAUUUAUGAUGGUUGUAUUUACUUUGAGCACUAUUAUACACGUUGUUGUGAUACUGUACAUGAAGUCCUCCACCCCCGGACGUUUCCGCCAUCCUUGGUUUGGGGGUGUGACAGAUUGGUAUCAGAGCAUUGUUUAUAGUGAACUCAGUAUAUCGAACCACAUAAGAUAUACAAACUAUAAAUACAUUGGGACUGAAAGUCUCUGAUUUAAAGUUUUCAAAGCAACUAUACUUUUAGAAACAAAUAAUUUCUCGGUAAAAGUAGGAGCAUGUGCACACACACUAGGGUCAGUAUCAUGGUGGGAUGGGACAAAAGUGGUGAUUGUUGAACAAUACGAGUAGGCUUGGGGAUGUAUAGUCAGGUCUGGGAAUGACAUAGCCUGAUCAACUAUGUCUCACCCAGAAGUGAUUAGCAUAUGCCCAGGAAUGGUCGUAGGUGUUGCAACAAGUCUAAAACUUACCAACACUACCACAAUGAAAUACCAUAGGGGUAUUUGGUGUUAUUAUAAUUACUUAUUUGAGAACUAAAUAGAUUUUUAUCAAUAGGUCAAUAAUUGCCUAGUGGAUACAUUAAAAUUAUAUGUAUCCAGGACGUCAUAGACUUAGAAUCUGUGGAUCUUUGCUUUACUUCCUGUUCUCGUUGGAUUGGGGAUUUAGAGUUAGGAUCGCUUAUUCGAAGGUCUAUCCUGUCCCAAAUACAUAUGACUAGUAUGCACUAAACAAUAUAUUGAAGUACCUGAUAAAGAUCAUCUUAUAAUUAUCUAAUUAGUACGUCUACUUAGUUAUUUCUUAUAUCCCCAUUUCUCGCGAAGAUAUCAUGGCUGAAUUCCAUCCCCACGACGACCCGUACUACCCUAACCACGACAAUACUGAAUGGCUCGGAGAGGAGCCAGAGAAUGAUUACCGAAUCCCUUUGGAUGGUCACCAAGCUGAAGGCUUUGCUGAUGGUUCUGACUCCGACCCUGAAGUGGAGAACCUACCCUGAUGGCUCUUGUUCCGAAUCCUAUCCCUCGUCCGGUUUUUCAAGGCCCGACGCCUCCUUGGGUAGAGUGCUUGGAAACCUGGAGCGAAGAACACGACCAACCUAGGCUGUUAAAUGGAGACAUUCGAAUCCUUCAGAAUCCGGAGACUACACUAUUCAAGGGAACCGUAGCAUUGCCCAAGAUUUUCCUUACGUUAUUGAGGUGUAGACCUAUUUUCCUCGAACCCUAUAUUACAAACAAUUUACAUAUGGUAACUCCACGAAAUUCUUAAUAUAUACCAAGUGAUUUUAGGAAGGGAUCAGGCGAAACAAAUCACAAGUUGCAUUUGAGUCACUACCACUAAAAUUCAUUCAUAGGGGGUUUGUUAUGAAUUACAUACAAAAUACUUUUAAGUCAGAACAUAAUACAGACAAGUCUGGCUUGAUAACAUCUGACUUGUCACUACUAUUAAAAACUUAUCGUUUGUUCGUCUCUACCAACUUAUGACAGGACUAUGCCGCCAAAGAAAAAGUCCAGACCCUCCGGAAGCACAGCACCGCCCCCUCCGCAGUUUGAUCCCAUAAUGUUUCAAGCUGCCGUAACAGCAGCCGUGGCGGCAGCAAUGUCGCAAAUGGGUACAAAUGGUUCCGGCGGCUUCGGAUCCGGGAAUACUAACUCGAAUCAGGGGGACAGCACAGGGCGUACUAAGGAGUGUUCUUACAAAGACUUCACGAAUGGCAAACCCGAUCCUUUCGACGGAAGCGGGGGCGUCAUCGCGCUGAUGCAAUGGUUCGAAAGGACCGAAGCAGUCUUCGAAAUCUGUGCUUGUCCCGAAGCAAGCAAAGUCAAGUAUGCGGCAUUCACUUUCACAAGAAAAGCUCUUACUUGGUGGAAUGGCCGAGUUAAGUCACUUACUCCUGCAGUGGCUAACUCCAUAGGCUGGGAAAACUUAAAAGCGUUGAUGUUAAAGGAGUAUUGCCCGAGGGGAGAAAUACAAAAACUCGAAGAAGAACUCUGGAAUCUCAAGAUGUCAGGGACGGAUCUCGAAGCUUAUACUGCCCGAUUCAAUGACCUAGCACUCCUCUGUCCUGCAAUGGUCACCCCAGAGGAGAAAAAGGUAGAACGAUACCUUUGGGGGCUAUCAUCCCAGAUUCAUGAUAGUGUAUUGGCCUCCAGACCAACUACCUUCGACAGCGCCAAGGAGUUGGCACAACAACUCAUCGACCAUCGUGCCAGCCAUGACACUACGACAACCACGCCAAUUUUUGUUGUUCAUGUUGCCACAACCCUCACCACGCCAACUCCCAUGAAACAAUACGCUGGAACCCUUCCGAAAUGUAACAAGUGUAGCUUCCAUCACACUGGGGCUUGUAGAGAAUUGCAUUGCAUGAACUGCAAUAGGAAAGGGCACACUACCCGUUUCUGUAGGGCACCGGCACGACCCAUCAACCAGUUCCCCGGCUCUGGAGUAAGCCCAGCCUGUUACAAAUGUGGAGAAACAGGCCACUUUAAAAGGAACUGCCCAAGAGCAAGAGAUGCCAGUGGUGGUGGAAGGGUGCUUGCGAUCACCGAAGGAGAGACCACCCCGGAACUGCCUGCAAACAUCAGUAUGUGUUUCUGACAUCGACGACUAAAUUCCAAAUUUCUUUAUUUGAUUAAGUCUAGCAUCAAUUAAAGCAUGCAUAGUAGUAAUGCCAAGGAUUAAACUGAGAGCAUAAACAAUAAGAAAUUCCAAGGCCGUCAUGAGACCAUUCUAUGAAUUUACUUCGACUCCGUAAUGGGACUGCAUCAUAGGGAUGUAGGUCAAACCUUCGAGAACAUACUUCUACUCUAUAGGUGAACGGUUGAAAUACAUCUAGGUUCAAUGAUAGCCCUGACUAGGAACUCUAAUUCAUUAAGAAGGAUUACUAAGAAUGUUAUUUGUUAUGAUUUCCUCACUUAUACAUUCCCCAGUUAUAUAUAACGAAUACCUGGUAGAUAAUAGAAUGUGAGAAUUCUGACUUAGUUUCUUUUCCUCGUUGGGAUGUGAAACUGAAGUAGAAUCACACAUUUUACUAUCCGCCCAGUAUUGGUUAUAUCAUAAUGUGUAUAAGCUAAGUUUUCAUGUAUAAUAACUCAUCUCUUAGUCAGAAUCAAAAUAAUGUAGAGCCGACCUUAGUCAUUCACAAACUCCUUGCCUGAUUUCAAAUUUCGGGACGAAAUUCCCUCUAACGGGGGGAUGAUGUGACAACCGUCAAUUUUCAGUCAAGUCAAAGUCAACUAAAGUCAACAAGUCAAACCGGUCAACUCAAUUUGCCGUGAGUACUAGAGUUUACGUUAAGUAAUUUCUAAACAACUCUCUAUUCUAAUGAGAGAUCAUAAAUCGAAAAGUGCGUACAUCUAGAUCUCCUUAACCUAAAACGGUGGUACGUGGAGAGCCAAACCGAUAAAACAAUGUUACAUACUCAUCGGGAGUAUGCAAGAUCCUUAAACAAGGCUUAACGGGGCUUACGGACCUUGCAUUGCGAAGCCGAACACUCAAAAAGGUCACCAAUGAAACCUCUCUCAAUCGUGUUCACUCCAUCUCUUCUUAUCAGAAAUCUCUCCCAAAUCUCUCUAAGUAUGUGAAAUCUCUCCCAAAUCUCUCUUUGUAUGAGAAAUCUCUCCAAGAAUGUCAAAUCUCUCCCAAAUCUCUCUAAGUAUGUGAAAUCUCUCCCAAAUCUCUCUUUGUAUGAGAAAUCUCUCCAAGAAUGUCAAAUCUCUCCCAAAUCUCUCUAAGUAUGUGAAAUCUCUCCCAAAUCUCUCUUUGUAUGAGAAAUCUCUCCAAGAAUGUCAAAUCUCUCCCAAAUCUCUCUAAGUAUGUGAAAUCUCUCCCAAAUCUCUCUUUGUAUGAGAAAUCUCUCCAAGAAUGUCAAAUCUCUCCCAAAUCUCUCUAAGUAUGUGAAAUCUCUCCCAAAUCUCUCUUUGUAUGAGAAAUCUCUCCAAGAAUGUCAAAUCUCUCCCAAAUCUCUCUAAGUAUGUGAAAUCUCUCCCAAAUCUCUCUUUGUAUGAGAAAUCUCUCCAAGAAUGUCAAAUCUCUCCCAAAUCUCUCUAAGUAUGUGAAAUCUCUCCCAAAUCUCUCUUUGUAUGAGAAAUCUCUCCAAGAAUGUCAAAUCUCUCCCAAAUCUCUCUAAGUAUGUGAAAUCUCUCCCAAAUCUCUCUUUGUAUGAGAAAUCUCUCCAAGAAUGUCAAAUCUCUCCCAAAUCUCUCUAAGUAUGUGAAAUCUCUCCCAAAUCUCUCUUUGUAUGAGAAAUCUCUCCAAGAAUGUCAAAUCUCUCCCAAAUCUCUCUAAGUAUGUGAAAUCUCUCCCAAAUCUCUCUUUGUAUGAGAAAUCUCUCCAAGAAUGUCAAAUCUCUCCCAAAUCUCUCUAAGUAUGUGAAAUCUCUCCCAAAUCUCUCUUUGUAUGAGAAAUCUCUCCAAGAAUGUCAAAUCUCUCCCAAAUCUCUCUAAGUAUGUGAAAUCUCUCCCAAAUCUCUCUUUGUAUGAGAAAUCUCUCCAAGAAUGUCAAAUCUCUCCCAAAUCUCUCUAAGUAUGUGAAAUCUCUCCCAAAUCUCUCUUUGUAUGAGAAAUCUCUCCAAGAAUGUCAAAUCUCUCCCAAAUCUCUCUAAGUAUGUGAAAUCUCUCCCAAAUCUCUCUUUGUAUGAGAAAUCUCUCCAAGAAUGUCAAAUCUCUCCCAAAUCUCUCUAAGUAUGUGAAAUCUCUCCCAAAUCUCUCUUUGUAUGAGAAAUCUCUCCAAGAAUGUCAAAUCUCUCCCAAAUCUCUCUAAGUAUGUGAAAUCUCUCCCAAAUCUCUCUUUGUAUGAGAAAUCUCUCCAAGAAUGUCAAAUCUCUCUCAAAUCUCUCUAAGUAUGUGAAAUCUCUCCCAAAUCUCUCUUUGUAUGAGAAAUCUCUCCAAGAAUGUCAAAUCUCUCCCAAAUCUCUCUAAGUAUGUGAAAUCUCUCCCAAAUCUCUCUUUGUAUGAGAAAUCUCUCCAAGAAUGUCAAAUCUCUCCCAAAUCUCUCUAAGUAUGUGAAAUCUCUCCCAAAUCUCUCUUUGUAUGAGAAAUCUCUCCAAGAAUGUCAAAUCUCUCCCAAAUCUCUCUAAGUAUGUGAAAUCUCUCCCAAAUCUCUCUUUGUAUGAGAAAUCUCUCCAAGAAUGUCAAAUCUCUCCCAAAUCUCUCUAAGUAUGUGAAAUCUCUCCCAAAUCUCUCUUUGUAUGAGAAAUCUCUCCAAGAAUGUCAAAUCUCUCCCAAAUCUCUCUAAGUAUGUGAAAUCUCUCCCAAAUCUCUCUUUGUAUGAGAAACCUCUCCAAGAAUGUCAAAUCUCUCCCAAAUCUCUCUAAGUAUGUGAAAUCUCUCCCAAAUCUCUCUUUGUAUGAGAAAUCUCUCCAAGAAUGUCAAAUCUCUCCCAAAUCUCUCUAAGUAUGUGAAAUCUCUCCCAAAUCUCUCUUUGUAUGAGAAAUCUCUCCAAGAAUGUCAAAUCUCUCCCAAAUCUCUCUAAGUAUGUGAAAUCUCUCCCAAAUCUCUCUUUGUAUGAGAAAUCUCUCCAAGAAUGUCAAAUCUCUCCCAAAUCUCUCUAAGUAUGUGAAAUCUCUCCCAAAUCUCUCUUUGUAUGAGAAAUCUCUCCAAGAAUGUCAAAUCUCUCCCAAAUCUCUCUAAGUAUGUGAAAUCUCUCCCAAAUCUCUCUUUGUAUGAGAAAUCUCUCCAAGAAUGUCAAAUCUCUCCCAAAUCUCUCUAAGUAUGUGAAAUCUCUCCCAAAUCUCUCUUUGUAUGAGAAAUCUCUCCAAGAAUGUCAAAUCUCUCCCAAAUCUCUCUCUGUAUGUGAAAUCUCUCCCAAAUCUCUCUUUGUAUGAGAAAUCUCUCCAAGAAUGUCAAAUCUCUCCAAGAUCUCUCUAAGUAUGUGAAAUCUCUCCCAAAUCUCUCUUUGUAUGAGAAAUCUCUCCAAGAAUGUCAAAUCUCUCCCAAAUCUCUCUAAGUAUGUGAAAUCUCUCCCAAAUCUCUCUCUGUAUGAGAAAUCUCUCCAAGAAUGUCAAAUCUCUCCCAAAUCUCUCUAAGUAUGUGAAAUCUCUCCCAAAUCUCUCUUUGUAUGAGAAAUCUCUCCAAGAAUGUCAAAUCUCUCCCAAAUCUCUCUAAGUAUGUGAAAUCUCUCCCACAUCUCUCUUUGUAUGAGAAAUCUCUCCAAGAAUGUCAAAUCUCUCCCAAAUCUCUCUAAGUAUGUGAAAUCUCUCCCAAAUAUCUCUUUGUAUGUGAAAUCUCUCCAAGUAUGUCAAAUCUCUCCCAAAUCUCUCUAAGUAUGUGGAAUCUCUCUCACAUCUCUCUCAAAAUCUCUCUCAACUUUCUAUAAUCACUCGGGGCAUCCCGACCCUCGAAUUUGGCGAAAACAGCCCAAAAACGGAAGUCUACGCGAAAAACGGACUUAAGGAACCGAAACCCCUCUUAGGAACCGAAACCCCUCUUAGGAACCGAAAGUCCCCUUAGGAACCGAACCUUCUGAUGAAGAGGAACCGAACCGAAGGUACUGUUCACUACUGUUCACUACAGUUCAUUCGGUUCUGACUUCUCGCCUUUUAUCUCCUAACCGAACCCUCCCUUCUGAUGGCUUGCCGAACCUUCUCUUCUGAGGACCGAGGACCGAACCUUCCCUUCUGAGCUUCGCUUCUGAGCCUCGCUUCUGAGCUUCUGACCGAACCCUCGGCCUAGGACCCUUCGCUUCUCGCUCCUGGUUCGCAUCUCGCAUCCGGCUCAGCAACCACCAUGACCGAACCUCGGCCUAGGGACCGAACCUCGGCCUAGGACCGAGAGGCCUCGCUGGGAAGCCUUUUUCUCCCGGUUUUCGAUUAAAUUCGCGUUUUAAGCCCGUUUUUAAUUGUUUUAGCACGGGAUUUUCACCCAAAACUUUAUUUUAACAUAUAAGGCCCCUAAACUAUUAAUUAAUCACGUUUUUAAGGAUAAAACCUUAUCCAAAAGGGAGUAGGUGAAGUACAAAGAUGGAGUGUUGACUUUCCUUUAUUUUAUGACACAAGCAACCUCCAUCACCCACUCCAUGUCACUAUUCCCCAUCAGCCCUUACCUAGUCAUUUCAUUGUACUUUUCCCACCUUUUUCCAACCCCACAAUUGGUCAAAGGCUAGAAAAGCCUCCUCUCUCCUCAUUUCUCUCAUUUUCUCUCUUUUCACCAAAAAGAGCAAACUCUUUUCUCUCUCAUUUUCCCUCUCUAGAACUCGAGAUUUGAGGGCUGAUCUUGGGAUUUUCCUCCACAUUUGGUAAGAAUAAUCCCUUCUCUUUAUGAUUAUUUCACUUCUUUCUACUCGAAUCAUGGAUAUCUUACACAAACUCUCUCAUAAUUGUGUUAGAUCUUCGAAUCUUCAAGUGAUUCUUCAAGUGUUCUUGGGUUGAACACUUCUCUUCUUCAACACUUACCUACUGAAAUCACUCAAGGUGAGUUCAUACCCCUAUAUUUUCAUGUUUUCUCAAGUUUUU
rnacentral:lncRNA from 1 species